rnacentral:rRNA from 1 species
CCGAUGGAGGGGGAUAACUACUGGAAACGGUAGCUAAUACCGCAUAACGUCGCAAGACCAAAGAGGGGGACCUUAGGGCCUCUUGCCAUCGGAUGUGCCCAGAUGGGAUUAGCUAGUAGGUGGGGUAACGGCUCACCUAGGCGACGAUCCCUAGCUGGUCUGAGAGGAUGACCAGCCACACUGGAACUGAGACACGGUCCAG